rnacentral:misc_RNA from 1 species
GAUGAAGAACGCAGCAAAUUGCGAUAAGUAUUGUGAAUUGCAUUAUUAGUGAAUCAUCGAAUCUUUGAACGCAUCUUGCGCUCUGGGGCUAUUCCCCAGAGCAUGACUGUUUGAGGGUUGUGUAUAUCAUCAUCCCCCUCCGAGUGGAAACACUAUGGAGUGAUUUUUGGGUAUGGAUAUUGGCUUGUUGUAGGAAUCUUUGAUUUCUACUAAGCUGAAAAACAUCAGUGGCUGAUUUCCAAUUUCUGGUAGCACAUAGUAAUGGCGUUAUAGUUUAUAUUCGCUGAUACUUUAUGUACAACCAUAAGAUUUUGGAGCUAUAAAGGCCUCUUCGAAGUAACACACACUUUUAACUCUUCAACCUCAAAUCAGUUAGGACUACCCGCUGAACUUAAGCAUAUCAAUAAGCGGAGGA